rnacentral:rRNA from 1 species
AUUACGGGGCGCAGCAGGCGCGAAAACUCCGCAAUGCGCGAAAGCGUGACGGGGCUACCCCGAGUGUCGUCCGCUGAGGAUGACUUUUCCCCGGUGUAAUGAGCCGGGGGAAUAAGGAGAGGGCAAGACUGGUGUCAGCCGCCGCGGUAAUACCAGCUCUCCGAGUGGUAGGGAUGAUUAUUGGGCUUAAAGCGUCCGUAGCCGGCUUAGCAAGUCUCCUGUUAAAUUCAGCGACCUAAUCGUUGAGCCGCGGGAGACACUACUAGGCUAGGAGGCGGGAGAGGCCGACGGUAUUCUCGGGGUAGGGGUGAAAUCCUAUAAUCCCGGGAGGACCACCAGUGGCGAAGGCUGUCGGCUAGAACGCGCUCGACGGUGAGGGACGAAAGCUGGGGGAGCGAACCGGAUUAGAUACCCGGGUAGUCCCAGCUGUAAACGAUGCGGGCUAGGUGUUGGGGUGGCUACGAGCCACUUCAGUGCCGCAGGGAAGCCGUUAAGCCCGCCGCCUGGGGAGUACGGCCGCAAGGCUGAAACUUAAAGGAAUUGGCGGGGGAGCACAAU